AAGGGAGACCUAAUUCGGGUAGAAGACGAAAAAAUAGUAGUCGAAACCAAGAAUCAAUCCCAAAAGGUCGGAACGAGGUAUGUGGCUUUCAAACUAGGUUCUGGGUUCACAAAAGACCUGAAUCAGGAACAAGGGCUAUUAGCUCAGGUGGUUAGAGCGCACCCCUGAUAAGGGUGAGGUCCCUGGUUCGAGUCCAGGAUGGCCCACCUGCACAGGUGGCAAAAACAAGAGAAACGAGGAAUCAGCACCUUAUCUUACUUACAUAGUAAGAGAGAAUGCUGGCUCUGAGUAAAGAGUCCAGAGGAACCUUGAAAACUGCAUAGAGCUAGGUGAAAAAGCCAAAAAGGAAGACCGCAA
rnacentral:tRNA from 1 species